GUGACAGCGGUUGUAUACAAGCAAGUACCAUUUACAGGCAAUUAGGGUUCGAUUCCGGAGAGGGAGCCUGAGAAACGGCUACCACAUCCAAGGAAGGCAGCAGGCGCGCAAAUUACCCAAUCCCAACACGGGGAGGUAGUGACAAUAAAUAACAAUAUGGGGCCCUUACGGGUUUCGUAAUUGGAAUGAGUACAAUUUAAAUCUCUUAACGAGGAACAAUUGGAGGGCAAGUCUGGUGCCAGCAGCCGCGGUAAUUCCAGCUCCAAUAGCGUAUAUAAAAGUUGUUGCAGUUAAAAAGCUCGUAUUUGAAUUUCGGGAUUUGUCAGUUGGUCGGGCUUCACUGUCCGUACUGAUUUGAUGGAUUCUUACCUUCUGAAUAACCAGCAUGCUAUUAAGUUAGUGCGUUGGGGAAGCAGAUCUAUUACCUUGAAAAAAUUAGAGUGCUUAAAGCGGGCUAGUGCUUGAAUAGAUAAGCAUGGAAUAAUAAAAUAGGACGGCGUGGUUCUAUUUUGUUGGUUUCUAGGAUCACCGGUAGUGAUUAAUAGGGAUAGUUGGGGGCGUUAGUAUUCAAUUGUCAGGAGGUGAAAUUCUCGGAUGGAAUCGCGGGACUAGCGGUCUACGAAAGAAUCUUUUCACGUCAUGUAGUUACUUAAUGGAGGGGGGUGGGGGAGGUUCGAGCAAAAAACUAAUAUCUAUGGGAUGUUGGUCCCUAUCACAAGAGGACGCCCGGCGGAAGAUUCGGAUCUCAAUAUCACUCAGUCCCUCAUGGCACCCGGUGGGCUCGCUGAGUGACCCACGAGUUUAAGGUUAGAUAAC
rnacentral:rRNA from 1 species